rnacentral:rRNA from 1 species
AAUAGAUACCCCGGUAGUCCACGCCCUAAACGAUGAUGACUCGAUGUUUGCGAUAUACCGUAAGCGUCCAAGCGAAAGCGUUAAGUCAUCCACCUGGGGAGUACGCCCGCAAGGGUGAAACUCAAAGGAAUUGACGGGGGCCCGCACAAGCGGAGGAGCAUGUGGUUUAAUUCGAUGAUACGCGAGGAACCUUACCCGGGCUUGAAAGUUACUGAAGGAUGCAGAGACGCAUCCGUCCCUCGGGACAGGAAACUAGGUGCUGCAUGGCUGUCGCCAGCUCGUGCCGUGAGGUGUUGGGUUAAGUCCCGCAACGAGCGCAACCCCUAUGUUUAGUUGCCAGCACGUCAAGGUGGGACUCUAAACAGACUGCCUGCGCAAGCAGAGAGGAAGGCGGGGACGACGUCAAGUCAUCAUGGCCCUUACGUCCGGGGCUACACACGUGCUACAAUGGAUGGUACAGCGGGCAGCUACACAGCAAUGUGAUGCCAAUCUCGAAAAGCCAUUCACAGUUCGGAUCGGGGU